rnacentral:lncRNA from 1 species
UUAGGGUUAAAAUCACUGUCCAAAACCUUUGUAGGAACUCUUUUCCAACCUUUUGGAGUUAGUUAGACCAAAAAAAAAAUGAAAAAUGAAAAAAAAAUAUUUGGGGUUUUCGGGCUUCCUGAAUGUAACCUGGGUAUUAGAUUUUAAGGCUAGGGUAAGGUUUAAGUUUUUUGGCGUUAGGGUUAAAAUCACUGUCCAAAACCUUUGUAGGAACUCUUUUCCAACCUUUUGGAGUUAGUUAGACCAAAAAAAAAUGAAAAAUGAAAAAAUAUAUAUUUGGGGUUUUCGGGCUUCCUGAAUGUAAUACCCGGGUAUUAGAUUUUAAGGCUAGGGUAAGGUUUAAGUUUUUUGGCGUUAGGGUUAAAAUCACUGUCCAAAACCUUUGUAGGAACUCUUUUCCAACCUUUUGGAGUUGGUUACACCAACAAAAAUGAAAAAUGAAAAAAAAAAUAUUUGGGGUUUUCGGGCUUCCUGGAAGUAAUACCCGAGUAUUAAGUUUUGGGGCUAGGGAAAGGUUUAAGGUUUUUGGCGUUAGGGUUAAAAUCACUGUCCAAAACCUUUGUAGGAACUCUUUUCCAACCUUUUGGAGUUGGUUACACCAACAAAAAUGUAAAAUGAAAAAAAAAAUAUUUGGGGUGUUUGGGCUUCCUGAAGGUAAUACCCGGGAAUUAGAUUUUAAGGCUAGGGUAAGGUUUAAGUUUUUUGGCGUUAGGGUUAAAAUCACUGUCCAAAACCUUUGUAGGAACUCUUUUCCAACCUUUUGGAGUUGGUUAGACCAACAAAAAAGUAAAAUGAAAAAAAAAUAUUUGGGGUGUUCGGGCUUCCUGAAGGUAAUACCCGGGUAUUAGAUUUUAAGGCUAGGGUAAGGUUUAAGUUUUUUGGCGUUAGGGUUAAAAUCACUGUCCAAAACCUUUGUAGGAACUCUUUUCCAACCUUUUGGAGUUAGUUAGACCAAAAAAAAUGAAAAAAAAAAAAAAAUAUUUGGGGUGUUCAGGCUUCCUGAAGGUAAUACCCGGGUAUUAGAUUUCAAGGCUAGGGUAAGGUUUAAGGUUUUUGGCGUUAGGGUUAAAAUCACUGUCCAAAACCUUUGUAGGAACUCUUUUCCAACCUUUUGGAGUUGGUUAGACCAAAAAAAAUGUAAAAUGAAAAAAAAAUAUUUGGGGUGUUCGGGCUUCCUGAAGGUAAUACCCGGUAUUAGAUUUUAAGGCUCGGGUAAGGUUUAAGUUUUUUGGCGUUAGGGUUAAAAUCACUGUCCAAAACCUUUGUAGGAACUCUUUUCCAACCUUUUGGAGUUAGUUAGACCAAAAAAAAAAAAAAAAUGAAAAAAAAAUAUUUGGGGUGUUCAGGCUUCCUAAAAGUAAUACCCGGGUAUUAGGUUAUGGGGCUAUGGUAAGGUUUAAGGUUUUUGGCGUUAGGGUUAAAAUCACUGUCCAAAACCUUUGUAGGAACUCUUUUCCAACCUUUUGGAGUUAGUUAGACCAAAAAAAAAAUGAAAAAUGAAAAAACAAUAUUUGGGGUUUUCUUCCUGAAUGUAAUACCCGGGUAUUAGAUUUUAAGGCUAGGGUAAGGUUUAAGUUUUUUGGCAUUAGGGUUAAAAUCACUGUCCAAAACCUUUGUAGGAACUCUUUUCCAACCUUUUGGAGUUAGUUAGACCAAAAAAAAAAAGAAAAAUGAAAAAAAAAAAAUAUUUGGGGUGUUCGGGCUUCCUGAAAGUAAUACCCAGGUAUUAGAUUUUAAGGCCAGGGUAAGGUUUAAGUUUUUUGGCGUUAGGGUUAAAAUCACUGUCCAAAACCUUUGUAGGAACUCUUUUCCAACCUUUUGGAGUUGGUUAGACCAAAAAAAAAAGAAAAAUGAAAAAAAAAUAUUUGGGGUGUUCAGGCUUCCUAAAAGUAAUACCCAGGUAUUAGGUUAUGGGGCUAUGGUAAGGUUUAAGUUUUUUGGCGUUAGGGUUAAAAUCACUGUCCAAAACCUUUGUAGGAACUCUUUUCCAACCUUUUGGAGUUAGUUAGACCAAAAAAAAAUGAAAAAUUAAAAAACAAUAUUUGGGGUUUUCGGGGUUCCUGAAUGUAAUACCCGGGUAUUAGAUUUUGAGGCUAGGGUAAGGUUUAAGGUUUUUUGGCGUUAGGGUUAAAAUCACUGUCCAAAACCUUUGUAGGAACUCUUUUCCAACCUUUUGGAGUUGGUUAGACCAAAAAAAAAAAUGAAAAAUGAAGAAAAAAAUAUUUGGGGUGUUCAGGCUUCCUGAAGGUAAUACCCGGGUAUUAGAUUUCAAGGCUAGGGUAAGGUUUAAGUUUUUUGGCAUUAGGGUUAAAAUCACUGUCCAAAACCUUUGUAGGAACUCUUUUCCAACCUUUUGGAGUUAGUUACACCAACAAAAAUGUAAAAUGAAAAAAAAAUAUUUGGGGUGUUCGGGCUUCCUGAAGGUAAUACCCGGGUAUUAGG